CUACAAAUUGAUUUGUUAUGAAAUGAAGAGAUGUGAGACAACUAUCCUACAGAGACCAAAUGAUGUUGAUGUAAAAUAGGUUACUGUAUGGACUUCAACAAUGAGUAAAUCAUCCAACAUUAAAAUUUUGCAAUAUUCUGAAUUAGAAUGACUUUGUUAAUACCUCUAACCUUUAUCAUCCGAUAUUGUUAUUAUCUAGAGCUCUGUAAAAAAAUAUAAAAAAAAAUUAUAAAAAAUGAAAAUACCAAAAAAUAUAUACAAAAAAAAUAUAAAAAAUGAAAAUACCAAAAAAUAAUAUGAAAACAAAAUUGUUUGUAAACAGAGUUCUAGAUAAUAAACAUUGAGGGUGGUGUAAAAGGUGGGAUUAUUGUAACAUUUUUUAUGACCCCCGCCUUAAAGUCUUCUAACCCCCAAGGGUGACUGGGGAAUAGAAGUAUGGUCACCAUUGGUCUUCCUCCGACCGGCAGUAAAACCCUUGCUAAAGUGGGGCGUCCGUUGCAGUCUAAAUUUCUACGACCUUAAUCCAGGAAGCCCCUAUUACAGAACCUACCUAUUGUAUUUAUUGUUAACUUGUUCUCGUCCUGAAUAUGUAUGAAAUAUUUGCCACUGGAUGUUAAGCAACCAACAAUCAACAACAAUCAAUUAAAAUCUUCUAAAGUUAUCAUGUUUAAAACAAACAAAAAUUGGAAUGGCAAUUUAAAAAGUAUAGUUUCUAUGUGUAGGGACAGUGCCACUCUGCACGUUAAAGAACCCUUGCCACAAGUCUUUGAGGCCUGGUCAGUAGGUGGCCUGUUGCAAGGCUUAAUUUCUGUCCAACAUAUCCUCCUCUCAGUUGGCAGUCAAAAUUUCCCUUACCUUCAUCAUCGGCCCACUUUAUAGAACCUACAAAUUGAUUUGUUAUGAAAUGAAGAGAUGCGAGACAUUACUAUCCUACAGAGACCAAAUGAUGUUGAUGUAAAAUAGGUUACUGUAUGGACUUCAACAAUGAGUAAAUCAUCCAACAUUAAAAUUUUGCAAUAUUCUGAAUUAGAAUGACUUUGUUAAUACCUCUAACCUUUAUCAUCCGAUAUUGUUAUUAUCUAGAGCUCUGUAAAAAAAUAUAAAAAAAAAUUAUAAAAAAUGAAAAUACCAAAAAAUAUAUACAAAAAAAAUAUAAAAAAUGAAAAUACCAAAAAAUAAUAUGAAAACAAAAUUGUUUGUAAACAGAGUUCUAGAUAAUAAACAUUGAGGGUGGUGUAAAAGGUGGGAUUAUUGUAAUAUUUUUUAUGACCCCCGCCUUAAAGUCUUCUAAAGUUAUCAUUUUUAAAACCAACAAAAAUUGGAAUGGCAAUUUAAAAAGUAUAUAGUUCCUAUGUGUAGGGACAGUGCCACUCUGCACGUUAAAGAACCCUUGCCACAAGUCUUUGAGGGGUCAGUAGGUGGCCUGUUGCAAGGCUUAAUUUCUGUCCAACAUAUCCUCCUCUCAGUUGGCAGUCAAAAUUUCCCUUACCUUCAUCAUCGGCCCACUUUAUAGAACCUACAAAUUGAUUUGUUAUGAAAUGAAGAGAUGCGAGACAUUACUAUCCUACAGAGACCAAAUGAUGUUGAUGUAAAAUAGGUUACUGUAUGGACUUCAACAAUGAGUAAAUCAUCCAACAUUAAAAUUUUGCAAUAUUCUGAAUUAGAAUGACUUUGUUAAUACCUCUAACCUUUAUCAUCCGAUAUUGUUAUUAUCUAGAGCUCUGUAAAAAAAUAUAAAAAAAAAAUAUAAAAAAUGAAAAUACCAAAAAAUAUAUACAAAAAAAAUAUAAAAAAUGAAAAUACCAAAAAAUAAUAUGAAAACAAAAUUGUUUGUAAACAGAGUUCUAGAUAAUAAACAUUGAGGGUGGUGUAAAAGGUGGGAUUAUUGUAACAUUUUUUAUGACCCCCGCCUUAAAGUCUUCUAACCCCCAAGGGUGACUGGGGAAUAGAAGUAUGGUCACCAUUGGUCUUCCUCCGACCGGCAGUAAAACCCUUGCUAAAGUGGGGCGUCCGUUGCAGUCUAAAUUUCUCCGACCUUAAUCCAGGAAGCCCCUAUUACAGAACCUACCUAUUGUAUUUAUUGUUAACUUGUUCUCGUCCUGAAUAUGUAUGAAAUAUUUGCCACUGGACGUUAAGCAACCAACAAUCAACAACAAUCAAUUAAAAUCUUCUAAAGUUAUCAUGUUUAAAACAAACAAAAAUUGGAAUGGCAAUUUAAAAAGUAUAGUUUCUAUGUGUAGGGACAGUGCCACUCUGCACAUUAAAAAACCCUUGCCACAAGUCUUUGAGGGGUCAGUAGGUGGCCUGUUGCAAGGCUUAAUUUCUGUCCAACAUAUCCUCCUCUCAGUUGGCAGUCAAAAUUUCCCUUACCUUCAUCAUCGGCCCACUUUAUAGAACCUACAAAUUGAUUUGUUAUGAAAUGAAGAGAUGCGAGACAUUACUAUCCUACAGAGACCAAAUGAUGUUGAUGUAAAAUAGGUUACUGUAUGGACUUCAACAAUGAGUAAAUCAUCCAACAUUAAAAUUUUGCAAUAUUCUGAAUUAGAAUGACUUUGUUAAUACCUCUAACCUUUAUCAUCCGAUAUUGUUAUUAUCUAGAGCUCUGUAAAAAAAUAUAAAAAAAAAAAUAUAAAAAAUGAAAAUACCAAAAAAUAUAUACAAAAAAAAUAUAAAAAAUGAAAAUACCAAAAAAUAAUAUGAAAACAAAAUUGUUUGUAAACAGAGUUCUAGAUAAUAAACAUUGAGGGUGGUGUAAAAGGUGGGAUUAUUGUAAUAUUUUUUAUGACCCCCGCCUUAAAGUCUUCUAAAGUUAUCAUUUUUAAAACCAACAAAAAUUGGAAUGGCAAUUUAAAAAGUAUAUAGUUCCUAUGUGUAGGGACAGUGCCACUCUGCACGUUAAAGAACCCUUGCCACAAGUCUUUGAGGGGUCAGUAGGUGGCCUGUUGCAAGGCUUAAUUUCUGUCCAACAUAUCCUCCUCUCAGUUGGCAGUCAAAAUUUCCCUUACCUUCAUCAUCGGCCCACUUUAUAGAACCUACAAAUUGAUUUGUUAUGAAAUGAAGAGAUGCGAGACAUUACUAUCCUACAGAGACCAAAUGAUGUUGAUGUAAAAUAGGUUACUGUAUGGACUUCAACAAUGAGUAAAUCAUCCAACAUUAAAAUUUUGCAAUAUUCUGAAUUAGAAUGACUUUGUUAAUACCUCUAACCUUUAUCAUCCGAUAUUGUUAUUAUCUAGAGCUCUGUAAAAAAAUAUAAAAAAAAAUUAUAAAAAAUGAAAAUACCAAAAAAUAUAUACAAAAAAAAUAUAAAAAAUGAAAAUACCAAAAAAUAAUAUGAAAACAAAAUUGUUUGUAAACAGAGUUCUAGAUAAUAAACAUUGAGGGUGGUGUAAAAGGUGGGAUUAUUGUAACAUUUUUUAUGACCCCCGCCUUAAAGUCUUCUAACCCCCAAGGGUGACUGGGGAAUAGAAGUAUGGUCACCAUUGGUCUUCCUCCGACCGGCAGUAAAACCCUUGCUAAAGUGGGGCGUCCGUUGCAGUCUAAAUUUCUCCGACCUUAAUCCAGGAAGCCCCUAUUACAGAACCUACCUAUUAGUUAUCAUGUUUAAAACAAACAAAAAUUGGAAUGGCAAUUUAAAAAGUAUAGUUUCUAUGUGUAGGGACAGUGCCACUCUGCACAUUAAAAAACCCUUGCCACAAGUCUUUGAGGGGUCAGUAGGUGGCCUGUUGCAAGGCUUAAUUUCUGUCCAACAUAUCCUCCUCUCAGUUGGCAGUCAAAAUUUCCCUUACCUUCAUCAUCGGCCCACUUUAUAGAACCUACAAAUUGAUUUGUUAUGAAAUGAAGAGAUGCGAGACAUUACUAUCCUACAGAGACCAAAUGAUGUUGAUGUAAAAUAGGUUACUGUAUGGACUUCAACAAUGAGUAAAUCAUCCAACAUUAAAAUUUUGCAAUAUUCUGAAUUAGAAUGACUUUGUUAAUACCUCUAACCUUUAUCAUCCGAUAUUGUUAUUAUCUAGAGCUCUGUAAAAAAAUAUAAAAAAAAAAAUAUAAAAAAUGAAAAUACCAAAAAAUAUAUACAAAAAAAAUAUAAAAAAUGAAAAUACCAAAAAAUAAUAUGAAAACAAAAUUGUUUGUAAACAGAGUUCUAGAUAAUAAACAUUGAGGGUGGUGUAAAAGGUGGGAUUAUUGUAAUAUUUUUUAUGACCCCCGCCUUAAAGUCUUCUAAAGUUAUCAUUUUUAAAACCAACAAAAAUUGGAAUGGCAAUUUAAAAAGUAUAGUUCCUAUGUGUAGGGACAGUGCCACUCUGCACGUUAAAGAACCCUUGCCACAAGUCUUUGAGGGGUCAGUAGGUGGCCUGUUGCAAGGCUUAAUUUCUGUCCAACAUAUCCUCCUCUCAGUUGGCAGUCAAAAUUUCCCUUACCUUCAUCAUCGGCCCACUUUAUAGAACCUACAAAUUGAUUUGUUAUGAAAUGAAGAGAUGCGAGACAUUACUAUCCUACAGAGACCAAAUGAUGUUGAUGUAAAAUAGGUUACUGUAUGGACUUCAACAAUGAGUAAAUCAUCCAACAUUAAAAUUUUGCAAUAUUCUGAAUUAGAAUGACUUUGUUAAUACCUCUAACCUUUAUCAUCCGAUAUUGUUAUUAUCUAGAGCUCUGUAAAAAAAUAUAAAAAAAAAUUAUAAAAAAUGAAAAUACCAAAAAAUAUAUACAAAAAAAAUAUAAAAAAUGAAAAUACCAAAAAAUAAUAUGAAAACAAAAUUGUUUGUAAACAGAGUUCUAGAUAAUAAACAUUGAGGGUGGUGUAAAAGGUGGGAUUAUUGUAAUAUUUUUUAUGACCCCCGCCUUAAAGUCUUCUAAAGUUAUCAUUUUAAAACCAACAAAAAUUGGAAUGGCAAUUUAAAAAGUAUAUAGUUCCUAUGUUUAGGGACAGUGCCACUCUGCACGUUAAAGAACCCUUGCCACAAGUCUUUGAGGGGUCAGUAGGUGACCUGUUGCAAGGCUUAAUUUCUGUCCAACAUAUCCUCCUCUCAGUUGGCAGUCAAAAUUUCCCUUACCUUCAUCAUCGGCCCACUUUAUAGAACCUACAAAUUGAUUUGUUAUGAAAUGAAGAGAUGCGAGACAUUACUAUCCUACAGAGACCAAAUGAUGUUGAUGUAAAAUAGGUUACUGUAUGGACUUCAACAAUGAGUAAAUCAUCCAACAUUAAAAUUUUGCAAUAUUCUGAAUUAGAAUGACUUUGUUAAUACCUCUAACCUUUAUCAUCCGAUAUUGUUUUUAUCUAGAGCUCUGAAAAAAUAUAAAAAAUGAAAAUACCAAAAAAUAUAUACAAAAAAAAUAUAGAAAAUGAAAAUACCAAAAAAUAAUAUGAAAACAAAAUUGUUUGUAAACAGAGUUCUAGAUAAUAAACAUUGAGGGUGGUGUAAAAGGUGGGAUUAUUGUAAUAUUUUUUAUGACCCCCGCCUUAAAGUCUUCUAAAGUUAUCAUUUUUAAAACCAACAAAAAUUGGAAUGGCAAUUUAAAAAGUACAUAGUUCCUAUGUGUAGGGACAGUGCCACUCUGCACGUUAAAGAACCCUUGCCACAAGUCUUUGAGGGGUCAGUAGGUGGCCUGUUGCAAGGCUUAAUUUCUGUCCAACAUAUCCUCUUCUCAGUUGGCAGUUAAAAUUUCCUUUACCUUCAUCAUAGGCCCACUUUAUUGAACCUACAAAUUGAUUUGUUAUGAAAAGAAGAGAUGUGAGACAUUACUUUCCUACAGAGACCAAAUGAUGUUGAUGUAAAAUAGGUUACUGUAUGGACUUCAACAAUGAAAAAAUCAACCAACAUUAAAAUUUUGCAAUAUUCUGAAUUAGAAUGACUUUGUUAAUACCUCUAACCUUUAACAUCUGAUAUUUUUAUUAUCUAGAGCUUUGUUAAAAAAAAAUAUCAAAAAAAAUAUAAAAAAUGAAAAUACCAAAAAAUAAUAUAUGAAAACAAAAUCGUUUGUAAACAGAGUUCUAGAUAAUAAACAUUGAGGGUGGUGUAAAAGGUGGGAUUAUUGUAACAUUUUUUAUGACCCCCACCUUAAAGUCUUUUAACCCCCAAGGGUGACUGGGGAAUAGAAGUAUGGUCACCAUUGGUCUUCCUCCGACCGGCAGUAAAACCCUUGCUAAAGUGGGGCGUCCGUUGCAGUCUAAAUUUCUCCGACCUUAAUCCAGGAAGCCCCUAUUACAGAACCUACCUAUUGUAUUUAUUGUUAACUUGUUCUCGUCCUGAAUAUGUAUGAAAUAUUUGCCACUGGACGUUGAGCAACCAACAAUCAACAACAAUCAAUUAAAAUCUUCUAAAGUUAUGUUUAAAACAAACAAAAAUUGGAAUGGCAAUUUAAAAAGUAUAGUUUCUAUGUGUAGGGACAGUGCCACUCUGCACAUUAAAAAACCCUUGCCACAAGUCUUUGAGGGGUCAGUAGGUGGCCUGUUGCUAGGCUUAAUUUCUGUCCAACAUAUCCUCCUCUCAGUUGGCAGUCAAAAUUUCCCUUACCUUCAUCAUCGGCUCACUUUAUAGAACCUACAAAUUAAUUUGUUAUGAAAUGAAGAGAUGCGACACAUUACUAUCCUACAGAGACCAAAUGAUGUUGAUGUAAAAUAGGUUACUGUAUGGACUUCAACAAUGAGAAAAUCAUCCAACAUUAAAAUUUUGCAAUAUUCUGAAUUAGAAUGACUUAGUUAAUACCUCUAACCUUUAUCACCCGAUAUUGUUAUUAUCUAGAGCUCUGUAAAAAAAUAUAAAAAAAAAAUAUAAAAAAUGAAAAUACCAAAAAAUAUAUACAAAAAAAAUAUCAAAAAUGAAAAUACCAAAAAAUAAUAUGAAAACAAAAUUGUUUGUAAACAGAGUUCUAGAUAAUAAACAUUGAGGGUGGUGUAAAAGGUGGGAUUAUUGUAAUAUUUUUUAUGACCCCCGCCUUAAAGUCUUCUAAAGUUAUCAUUUUUAAAACAAACAAAAAUUGGAAUGGCAAUUUAAAAAGUAUAUAGUUCCUAUGUGUAGGGACAGUGCCACUCUGCACGUUAAAGAACCCUUGCCACAAGUCUUUGAGGCCUGGUCAGUAGGUGGCCUGUUGCAAGGCUUAAUUUCUGUCCAACAUAUCCUCCUCUCAGUUGGCAGUCAAAAUUUCCCUUACCUUCAUCAUAGGCCCACUUUAUAGAACCUACAAAUUGAUUUGUUAUGAAAUGAAGAGAUGCGAGAUUACUAUCCUACAGAGACCAAAUGAUGUUGAUGUAAAAUAGGUUACUGUAUGGACUUCAACAAUGAGAAAAUCAUCCAACAUUAAAAUUUUGCAAUAUUCUGAAUUAGAAUGACUUUGUUAAUACCUCUUACCUUUAACAUCCGAUAGUUUUAUUAUCUAGAGCUCUGUAAAAAAAUAUACAAAAAAAAAUAUAAAAAAUGAAAAUACCAAAAAAUAAUAUGAUAACAAAAUUGUUUGUAAACAGAGUUCUAGAUAAUAAACAUUGAGGGUGGUGUAAAAGGUGGGAUUAUUGUAAUAUUUUUUAUGACCCCCGCCUUAAAGUCUUCUAAAGUUAUCAUUUUUAAAACAAACAAAAAUUGGAAUGGCAAUUUAAAAAGUAUAUAGUUCCUAUGUAGGGACAGUGCCACUCUGCACGUUAAAGAACCCUUGCCACAAGUCUUUGAGGGGUCAGUAGGUGGCCUGUUGCAAGGCUUAAUUUCUGUCCAACAUAUCCUCCUCUCAGUUGGCAGUCAAAAUUUCCCUUACCUUCGUCAUGGGCCCACUUUAUAGAACCUACAAAUUGAUUUGUUAUGAAAAGAAGAGAUGCGAGAC